rnacentral:rRNA from 1 species
GAUGAACGCUGGCGGCGUGCCUUAUACAUGCAAGUUGAGUGGGUUUAGACCCACGGCAAACGGGUGAGUAACACGUAGGUACUUUCCUUGUCACAGGAAUAACCCUCCGAAAGGAGGGCUAAUACCUGAUGUGAUCGCAAGAUUAAAGGGUAUCCGCAAGGAUUACCGGACAAGAAGAGGCCUGCGGCCUAUCAGCUAGUUGGCGGGGUAAAUGCCCACCAAGGCUAUGACGGGUAGCUGGCCUUAUGAGGAUGAUCAGUCACAUGGGCACUGAGACACGGGCCCAACUCCUACGGGAGGCAGCAGUAGGGAAUUUUGCGCAAUGGGCGAAAGCCUGACGCAGCGACGCCGCGUGCGGGAUGAAGGCCUUCGGGUCGUAAACCGCUUUUAUAAGGGACGAACUUUGACGGUACCUUAUGAAUAAGAGGUUGCUAACUCUGUG